UACGGGGGGAGCAAGCGUUGUUCGGAUUUACUGGGCGUAAAGGGCGGGUAGGCGGCCACCGCAAGUCGACUGUGAAAUCUCCGGGCUUAACCCGGAAAGGUCAGCCGAUACUGCGGGGCUAGAGUGCAGAAGGGGCAACUGGAACUCUCGGUGUAGCGGUGAAAUGCGUAGAUAUCGAGAGGAACACCUGCGGCGAAGGCGGGUUGCUGGGCUGACACUGACGCUGAACUGCGAAAGCUAGGGGAGCGAACGGG
rnacentral:rRNA from 1 species